rnacentral:rRNA from 1 species
AGAGUUUGAUUCUGGCUCAGGACAAACGCUGGCGGCGUGCGUAACACAUGCAAGUUGAACGCGAAUAUAUGAGAAGUGGUAACACGGAUUGUAUAUUUGAGUAGCGGACGGGUGAGUACAACAUGAGAACCUAUCCUUCAAAGGGGGACAACGUUUGGAAACGGACGCUAAUACCCCAUAAGCCGAGAGGUUAAAGCAGCAAUGCGAUGGAGGAGGGGCUCGUGUCCUAUCAGCUGGUUGGUGGGGUAAUGGCCUACCAAGGCGACGACGGGUAGCCGGCCUGAGAGGGUGUACGGCCACACUGGAACUGAGAUACGGUCCAGACUCCUACGGGAGGCAGCAGUGGGGAAUAUUGGGCAAUGGGAGAAAUCCUGACCCAGCAGCCGCGGUAAU